GGCUCAAUGGUCUAGUCGUAUGAUUCCUGCUUUGGGUGCAGGAGGUCCCGGGUUCAAAUCCCGGUUGAGCCC
rnacentral:tRNA from 3 species